AACUGAUACUACCUGCGGGAACCUGCGGAGGGAUCAUUACCGAGUUUACAACUCCCAAACCCCUGUGAACAUACCACUCGUUGCCUCGGCGGAUCACCGCGCCCCGUGAAACGGGCCGGCCCGCCAGAGGACCUAAACUCAAAUGUUUUAUUGUAUCUUCUGAGUAAAAACACAAAUAAAUCAAAACUUUUAGCAACGGAUCUCU
rnacentral:misc_RNA from 1 species